GCCAACAUCACGUUGGAACACCGGUUCCCGUACGAUCACCGAAGUCAGGCAACGCGGAGCCGGGUCACUACCUAGAUGAGUGACCAUUUCGGAAUACCAAGUGCUGUAA